GACAGAGGUCCCGAGCGUUAGGCGGAAUCACUGGGCUUAAAGCGUGUGUAGGCGGAUUUGUAAGUACCUUGUGAAAUCCCACGGCUCAACCGUGGAACUGCUUGGUAUACUGCUUAUCUUGGGCCACUUAGGGGUUACCGGAACAAACGGUGGAGCGGUGAAAUGCGUAGAUAUCGUUUGGAACGCCAAUGGUGAAAACAGGUAACUGGGAGUGUGCCGACGCUGAGACACGAAAAGCCAGGGGGAGCGAACGGGG
rnacentral:rRNA from 1 species